rnacentral:rRNA from 1 species
GAUGAACGCUGGCGGCGUGCCUAAUACAUGCAAGUCGAGCGAACAGACGAGGAGCUUGCUCCUUUGACGUUAGUGGCGGACAGGUGAGUAACACGUGGGUAACCUACCUAUAAGACUGGGAUAACUUCGGGAAACCGGAGCUAAUACCGGAUAAUAUUUCGAACCGCAUGGUUCGAUAGUGAAAGAUGGCUUUGCUAUCACUUAUAGAUGGACCUGCGCCGUAUUAGCUAGUUGGUAAGGUAACGGCUUACCAAGGCAACGAUACGUAGCCGACCUGAGAGGGUGAUCGGCCACACUGGAACUGAGACACGGUCCAGACUCCUACGGGAGGCGGCAGUAGGGAAUCUUCCGCAAUGGGCGAAAGCCUGACGGAGCAACGCCGCGUGAGUGAUGAAGGUCUUCGGAUCGUAAAACUCUGUUAUUAGGGAAGAACAAACGUGUAAGUAACUGUGCACGUCUUGACGGUACCUAAUCAGAAAGCCACGGCUAACUACGUGCCAGCAGCCGCGGUAAUACGUAGGUGGCAAGCGUUAUCCGGAAUUAUUGGGCGUAAAGCGCGCGUAGGCGGUUUUUUAAGUCUGAUGUGAAAGCCCACGGCUCAACCGUGGAGGGUCAUUGGAAACUGGAAAACUUGAGUGCAGAAGAGGAAAGUGGAAUUCCAUGUGUAGCGGUGAAAUGCGCAGAGAUAUGGAGGAACACCAGUGGCGAAGGCGACUUUCUGGUCUGUAACUGACGCUGAUGUGCGAAAGCGUGGGGAUCAAACAGGAUUAGAUACCCUGGUAGUCCACGCCGUAAACGAUGAGUGCUAAGUGUUAGGGGGUUUCCGCCCCUUAGUGCUGCAGCUAACGCAUUAAGCACUCCGCCUGGGGAGUACGACCGCAAGGUUGAAACUCAAAGGAAUUGACGGGGACCCGCACAAGCGGUGGAGCAUGUGGUUUAAUUCGAAGCAACGCGAAGAACCUUACCAAAUCUUGACAUCCUUUGACCCUUCUAGAGAUAGAAGUUUCCCCUUCGGGGGACAAAGUGACAGGUGGUGCAUGGUUGUCGUCAGCUCGUGUCGUGAGAUGUUGGGUUAGGUCCCGCAACGAGCGCAACCCUUAAGCUUAGUUGCCAUCAUUAAGUUGGGCACUCUAAGUUGACUGCCGGUGACAAACCGGAGGAAGGUGGGGAUGACGUCAAAUCAUCAUGCCCCUUAUGAUUUGGGCUACACACGUGCUACAAUGGACAAUACAAAGGGCAGCGAAACCGCGAGGUCAAGCAGAUCCCAUAAAGUUGUUCUCAGUUCGGAUUGUAGUCUGCAACUCGACUACAUGAAGCUGGAAUCGCUAGUAAUCGUAGAUCAGCAUGCUACGGUGAAUACGUUCCCGGGUCU